UUACAGAGUUCCCUGGACCCCUGAAAGCACUGAGUUCUGAUUUCUGAACUGAUCGACACUUGACUUUUACAAGAACCAAUGCCCUUCAAGCCUUGAUCAAGGACCACUGAAAGCACGUGAAGAAUCCUUGGAACUGUCUUGGGAAACCCUGACAAAUCCCCUGUGAGGACAGCCACACUAGUAUUUUAACCAGGAACAACUCCUCACCACCUGCCAUGCUCUGAGGUGUUUGAUGUCAUAGCUUCUCUCAAUGGGUAAGAAAGUACCUGGAAUCAAGAACAUCUCCAAUACCUGAGUAAGAAGACCCCAAGGACUUGCAAGAAGGACCUCCAAGCAUAUGUGGCCUAAGGCUCUCAUUUUACAAA
rnacentral:lncRNA from 9 species